rnacentral:rRNA from 1 species
UAGGGAAUCUUCCACAAUGGGCGCAAGCCUGAUGGAGCAACACCGCGUGAGUGAAGAAGGGUUUCGGCUCGUAAAGCUCUGUUGUUAAGGAAGAACACGUAUGAGAGUAACUGUUCAUACGUUGACGGUAUUUAACCAGAAAGUCACGGCUAACUACGUGCCAGCAGCCGCGGUAAUACGUAGGUGGCAAGCGUUAUCCGGAUUUAUUGGGCGUAAAGAGAGUGCAGGCGGUUUUCUAAGUCUGAUGUGAAAGCCUUCGGCUUAACCGGAGAAGUGCAUCGGAAACUGGAUAACUUGAGUGCAGAAGAGGGUAGUGGAACUCCAUGUGUAGCGGUGGAAUGCGUAGAUAUAUGGAAGAACACCAGUGGCGAAGGCGGCUACCUGGUCUGCAACUGACGCUGAGACUCGAAAGCAUGGGUAGCGAACAGGAUUAGAUACCCUGGUAGUCCAUGCCGUAAACGAUGAGUGCUAGGUGUUGGAGGGUUUCCGCCCUUCAGUGCCGGAGCUAACGCAUUAAGCACUCCGCCUGGGGAGUACGACCGCAAGGUUG